GACGAACGCUGGCGGCGUGCUUAACACAUGCAAGUCGAACGAAGUGGCGAACGGGUGAGUAACGCGUAAUCAACCUGCCCUUCCGAGGGGGACAACAGUUGGAAACGACUGCUAAUACCGCCUACUUCAGGAUGGGAUUGCGUCUGAUUAGCUAGUUGGGGGGGUAACGGCCCACCAAGGCGAUGAUCAGUAGCCGGUCUGAGAGGAUGCACGGCCACAUUGGGACUGAUACACGUCCCAGACUCCUACGGGAGGCAGCAGUGGGGAAUCUUCCGCAAUGGACGAAAGUCUGACGGAGCAACGCGGCGUGAGUGAUGACGGCCUUCGGGUUGUAAAGCUCUGUUAAUCGGGACGCGGUAACGGAAGAGAAAGCCACGGCUAACUACGUGCCAGCAGCCGCGGUAAGAG
rnacentral:rRNA from 1 species